GAUGAAGAACGUAGCGAAAUGCGAUAAGUAAUGUGAAUUGCAGAAUUCAGUGAAUCAUCGAAUCUUUGAACGCACAUUGCGCCCGCUAGUAUUCUGGCGGGCAUGCCUGUCCGAGCGUCAUUUCAACCCUCAAGCCCCCGGGCUUGGUGUUGGGGAUCGGCGAGCCUCCGCGCCCGCCGUCCCCUAAAUCUAGUGGCGGUCUCGCUGUAGCUUCCUCUGCGUAGUAGCACACCUCGCACUGGGAAACAGCGCGGCCACGCCGUUAAACCCCCAACUUCUGAACGUUUGACCUCGGAUCAGGUAGGAAUACCCGCUGAACUUAAGCAUAUAAUAAGCGGAGGA
rnacentral:misc_RNA from 1 species